rnacentral:rRNA from 1 species
UUCCGGUUGAWYCUGCCGGACCCCACUGCUAUCGGGGUGGGACUAAGCCAUGCUAGUUGAGCGUCUCGAGCUAUGACGAGACGCGGCGUACGGCUCAGUAACACGUAGUUAACCUACCCUUAGGACGGGAACAACCCUGGGAAACUGGGGCUAAUUCCCGAUAGGCGAGGAGACCUGGGAUGGUUCCUCGCCGAAAAGGCGUUGAAACCAUGCUUUUCAACGUCGCCUAAGGAUGGGACUGCGGCCGAUCAGGUUGUUGGUGAGGUAACGGCUCACCAAGCCUUUGACCGGUACGGGCUGUGAGAGCAGGAGCCCGGAGAUGGGCACUGAGACAAGGGCCUAGGUCCUACGGGGCGCAGCAGGCGCGAAAACUCCACGAUGCACGAAAGUGUGAUGGGGCUACCCCGAGUGCCGUCCGCUGAGGACGGCUUUUCUCCAGUGUAACCAGCUGGAGGCAAUAAAGGGAGGGCAAGAAUGGUGUCAGCCGCCGCGGUAAUACCAACUCCCUGAGUGGUGGGGAUGAUUAUUGGGCUUAAAGCGUCCGUAGCCAGCCUGAUUAGUCUCGCGUCAAAUCCAGCGACCUAAUCGUUGGAUCGCGGGGGAUACGGUCGGGCUUGGGAGCGAGAGAGGUUAGCGGUAUUCCCGGGGUAGGGGCGAAAUCCUGUAAUCCCGGGAGGACCACCAGUGGCGAAGGCGGCUAACCAGAACACGUCUGACGGUGACGGACGAAAGCUGGGGGAGCGAACCGGAUUAGAUACCCGGGUAGUCCCAGCCGUAAACGAUGCGGGCUAGCUGUUGGGAUGGCCACGAGCCAUCUCGGUGGCGCAGGGAAACCGUUAAGCCUGCCGCCUGGGGAGUACGAUCGCAAGAUUGAAACUUAAAGGAAUUGGCGGGGGAGCACCACAAGGGGUGAAGCUUGCGGUUCAAUUGGAGUCAACGCCGGG